UACGUAGGUGUCAAGCGUUAUCCGGAAUUAUUGGGCGUAAAGCGCGCGCAGGCGGUUUCUUAAGUCUGAUGUGAAAGCCCACGGCUCAACCAUGGAGGGUCAUUGGAAACUGGGGAACUUGAGUGCAGAAGAGAAAAGCGGAAUUCCACGUGUAGCGGUGAAAUGCGUAGAGAUGUGGAGGAACACCAGUGGCGAAGGCGGCUUUUUGGGCUGUAACUGACGCUGAGGCGCGAAAGCGUGGGGAGCAAACAGG
rnacentral:rRNA from 1 species